AUAUUUUUUGUAUUGCUACCAAAGACAGCAGGUGUAAAUCAUUUUUACUUAAUAUCCUGCCGAGGUACAUCGCUACAUAAAACAAGUUUUUCCAAAUUUGAUUUGGAGAAUUGAGCGAGACCUUGGCGUAUCUAUGUCAGGGUCUAUUUUUAUCGCUAC
rfam:Leptolyngbya sp. PCC 7376, complete genome.